GUACUGAUGAAGAGUCCCAAAUUAGGACGAAACAGUUGUCCUGUAC
rnacentral:hammerhead_ribozyme from 1 species